AGAGUUUGAUCCUGGCUCAGAACGAACGCUGGCGGCAGCUAACACAUGCAAGUCGAGUGGCGCACGGGUGAGUAACGCGUGGGAAUAUGCCCUUCGGUUCGGAAUAACCAGGGAAACUGCUAAUACCGGAUACGAUUACGAGAAAGAUCGCCGAAGGAGUAGCCCGCGUAGGAUUAGCUAGUUGGUGGGUAAUGGCUACCAAGGCGACGAUCCUUAGCUGGUCUGAAGGAUGAUCAGCCACACUGGGACUGAGACACGGCCCAGACUCUACGGGAGGCAGCAGUGGGGAAUAUUGGACAAUGGGGGAAACCCUGAUCCAGCCAUGCCGCGUGAGUGAUGAAGCUUAGGGUUGUAAAGCUCUUUCGUCGGGGAAGAUAAUGACGGUACCCGAAGAAGAAGCCUCGGCUAACUCCGUGCCGCAGCCGCGGUAAGACGGAGGAGGCUAGCGUUGUUCGGAAUUACUGGGCGUAAAGCGUGCGCAGGUUGUGGUUAAGUCUGAUGUGAAAGCCCGGGCUCAACCUGGAUGUGCAUUAGAUACUGGCUGCUGGAGGUUGGAAGAGGAGAGUGGAAUCCCAGUGUAGAGGUGAAAUUCGUAGAUAUUGGGAGAACACCAGUGGCGAAGGCGGCUCUCUGGUCCACACCUGACACUCAUGCACGAAAGCGUGGGGAGCAAACAGGAUUAGAUACCCUGGUAGUCCACGCCGUAAACGAUGUGUGCUAGACGUCGGUCUCGGUGUCCAGCUAACGCGAUAAGCACCCGCCUGGGGAGUACGGCCGCAAGUUAAACUCAAAGGAAUUGACGG
rnacentral:rRNA from 1 species